GGCCACCGAACUGCUGAGCUAAAUCCCCGGCCCCCCAGAGUGCAGCUGCCGAAUGCCAUCCAACGGAAAGGCAGGCUCAUAACACGACGCAGUCUUCAUCCACCCUGUUAGCCCGAUCUGGCACCGUGCGACACCUGGCUCUUCCCCAACGUCGAAAUGACCUUGAAAGAGACCGGCAUGAAUCCGUUUAGGACAUCGAGGCAUCCGUGACAGCGCCACUAGAGACACUCUUAGAAGACGACUCCAGAGCUGCUACAGAGUGGAAAGAACGGCAGGAAGAACGCGAUCAAAGCGAGAUGGGGAUUCAUGGCAGGGGCAUGGAGAUCUGAAUCAGGGAGAAUGGCAGGGUACAGUGGUCCAGAGCUUCCAUGAGGGACUCAGGAGGGCUCCUGUGAUCAGAGACCAGAAACCACGAGGUCAAGGGGACCUGACAGCA